rnacentral:rRNA from 1 species
GACGAACGCUGGCGGCGUGCUUAACACAUGCAAGUCGAACGGAAAGGCCUCUUUCGGGGGGUACUCGAGUGGCGAACGGGUGAGUAACACGUGAGUAACCUGCCCUUGACUUUGGGAUAACUUUAGGAAACAGGGGCUAAUACCGGAUAGGAGCUCCUGCUGCAUGGGGGGGGUUGGAAAGUUUCGGCGGUUGGGGAUGGACCCGCGGCGUAUCAGCUUGUUGGUGGGGGAGUGGCUUACCAAGGCUUUGACGGGUAGCCGGCCUGGGAGGGUGACCGGCCACAUUGGGACUGGGAUACGGCCCAGACUCCUACGGGGGGCAGCAGUGGGGAAUAUUGCACAAUGGGUGGAAGCCUGAUGCAGCAACGCCGUGUGCGGGAUGACGGCCUUCGGGUUGUAAACCGCUUUCGCUCAUGACGAAGCUUUGUGUGACGGUAGUGGGUAAAGAAGCACCGGCUAACUACGUG